GGUGGAUCGUCGACGAAGUUAAUUUUAUCCCUAAGGAAUAGAAUGUGUGAUAAACAGCAAUUCUUACUAAAAUUCUAACUACCUAAAAACACAUUUGGUAUGGUCGAGGCAAUUUCUAACUUUAAGCACUAAAAACAACAUAUUCCAAAUAUUACAAGUUCCCUAAGUUCCUGACUACAUUCACGACAAGUUGUUGUUAGGAUGUGAGGAUCCACUAGCGCCAGUGGAUCUCCCCCGAAGGGAUAGCAACUUUUUAUUAUUCUCACUACUUACGUAACUGGAAUGUCACGGGGUAAUCUAGAGUUAUCCAAUAAGAUAGUCCCUUGGGAUGUGGAUACCCACGUGUACCUGGGAUAUAUAAUGCUAAUGUCCUGACUCAUUCUGGGUCAGUUUGCCGAGACUGCAGACAGUAGGAGAAAGGAGCUUAAUAUUUUUUGUGUGCACCGCCACCAGCGUUUAGUCAUGGCAGAACUUCCAAAUCCGGAUGAGAUGGUUGCAAACGCUUAAGAAAUUAGACCGGCUGAGGUUGUCCAAGAAGUUGUGCCUCCGCCAGCAGCAAUUGGACCCGAAAUCGUACCGGCCGUACCAGAACUUGUGUCGGCCGCACAAGAGCCUACUGUGGAUAGGCUAGAAGCCCUGGAAAGAAAGCUGAAGGCUCUCGAGGAUGAAGAGUUGAGGGAUAAUAUGGCGCACGCGUUGGCGCUUCUGAGACGAUACCUAGACCGACCGCUAUCCAUCUUUGAUAAAUUUAAAGCGACUGAGUUACUUCAAGCGCUAGUCCGGUCAUCAAGGAGAGACGGCCACGCGAAAGCAGAGGAAUACGCUGGGGCCCAAAUGAAGUCAGGUUGAGGUAAAUUUACGAUUAUUUAAACAAGAUUUGGAAGAAAUUGGCAAAUGUCAAGUGGGACCUACGGCUUGGUGUGAUAUUCACCAAGGAACCCAACCUUUCGUUGGCCCAAUCAUCCCACCGAGUAUGAAGAUUAAAAACCCGUGUUUGGCAAAGCUAGACAAUUUAAGGUUCCGUCGCCCAAAUCAUUUCAAAGCAGGCUCCAUUCACGAGCACCAAGAAGUAUGGGAUGAACUUUUCCAAACGUGUAAUAGCAAACCAAGAGGUGUAGACUUGGGAGAGAUUGUCAGAGAAGGGGUAAAAGUUGAGGAGCUCUUCACACAGUUAAAGGAAACUUUAAAGGCAAGCAGUACGAUUUGGAUAAACCUCCGCCUAUGAUAAUGGAGAACGCCGCAGUUUGCUCUGGGUUUGAGGAGUUUAUUACGAUUACGAUUCUGGAAUGGGUAGCGGCAGAUGUGUUAUCUGUCUGGGGUGAAGUGGGCAUGUUCGACCCCCAUAUUUAGUGCUCCCUCUUACUUUGGAACCCUCAAAACCACGCCUGUGUCACGACGAGCGGUAUUUAAGUCUAUGGGUGAAAGAUCUGCCAUUUAAGUUGGAUCACCUACCAGAUCUACCGAGAUACGUUUUAAAAGACCAUUAUCAAACCACUUUCGAUGAUAAAAGCGGUUCUCAGCAUGUAAGACUCCACUCUUCGUCAGAAUCAUAUUUUGGUGUUAAGUUUCGAGGUUAUUAUUUUACAUUUCUCACGUUGCUUUUUGGGUGGAAAGCGAGUGCGUUUGUUUACCACAAUUUGGGCAUGACAGUAUCGGAUAGGGCACGAGCUCUCAGGGUUCCUGUGUCUCAGUAUAUCGAUGACCGCCAUGUGGGGCACGAGCUCUUGCGGUUCCUGUGUCUCAGUAUAUCAAUGACCGCCAUGUGGGGCACGAGCUCUCGGGGUUCCUGUGUCUCAGUAUAUCAAUGACCGCCAUGUGGGGCAGUUAUAUUCACCUCAUGUUAGGGACGCUUUGGCGGCGAGUACUCCAUUGGCGGAGGCGGCAGCGUAUAUUCUUUGCUACUACUUGAUAGAGGCGGGUUACUUUAUAUACUUAGUCACAGUCCACGCCUUCCGCCUUGGUUCGUUUUC